GCACUCGUGGCUCAGCUGGUUAGAGCGUCUGAUAACAAUUCUCGUGAUAUGUAACCAGCUACAUCAGGAGAUUGCCGGUUCGAUUCCGGUCGAGUGCC